rnacentral:rRNA from 1 species
UACGUGGGUGGCAAGCGUUAUCCGGAAUUAUUGGGCGUAAAGCGCGCGUAGGCGGUUUCUUAAGUCUGAUGUGAAAGCCCACGGCUCAACCGUGGAGGGUCAUUGGAAACUGGGAAACUUGAGUGCAGAAGAGGAAAGUGGAAUUCCAUGUGUAGCGGUGAAAUGCGCAGAGAUAUGGAGGAACACCAGUGGCGAAGGCGACUUUCUGGUCUGUAACUGACGCUGAUGUGCGAAAGCGUGGGGAUCAAACAGG